rnacentral:rRNA from 1 species
GACGAACCACACGAACGUUAUUCGGAAUUACUGGGCUUAAAGGGUGCGUAGGCUGCGCGGACAGUUGGGUGUGAAAUCCCUCGGCUUAACCGAGGAACUGCGCCCAAAACUACCGUGCUCGAGGAAGAUAGAGGUGAGCGGAACUUACGGUGGAGCGGUGAAAUGCGUUGAUAUCGUAAGGAACACCUGUGGCGAAAGCGGCUCACUGGGUCUUUUCUGACGCUGAAGCACGAAAGCUAGGGGAGCAAACGGG